CCUGCCCACAGGGCCAGGCUGCCUCUAGCGCCACUACUCGAGACCCUGCCCAGAGGUAAAGGAGGCAGGGUGGGGGAGCCCUGGCCACCUUGCCCGCCAUGCCCUGAGCCACGUCCCUCCCCCUGCAGAGUGGUGCUGGUGUUGCGGGAACGCUGGCAUUUCUGCCGGGACGGCAGGGUGCUGCUGGGCUCGAGGGCCCUGAGGGAGCGGCACCUAGGCCUGAUGGGCUACCAGCUCCUGCCGGUGAGUGGCCCUGGCCUGGCCCGUGGCGCAUCCUCACUCCCAGCCUGCGGGUAACCUGCCGCCCUCUCCUCUCCCCACAGCUACCCUUCGAGGAACUGGAGUCCCAGAGAGGCCUGCCCCAGCUCAAGAGCUACCUGAGGCAGAAGCUCCAGGCCCUGGGCCUGCGCUGGGGGCCUGAAGGGGGCUGAGGGGAUGAUGUGGGGUUCAGGAUGGCCCCCCCAUGGGGGGUGGAUGAUUUGCACUUUGGUUCCCUGUGUUUUGAUUUCUCAUUAAAGUUCCUUUCCUUC
rnacentral:sRNA from 1 species